rnacentral:lncRNA from 1 species
UGACAAGCACGGAAGCACCAUGGAAAGGCAGGUGUAGACGUGUAGUGGUUUUAUUUUUUUCAAUCCAAGUGAGGCUUCAGAAGGCAUGCCCCAGCAAACAUUGCAGUCAGCACCAUGGCAAGCACUUCCUUUGAUGCAUUCCUUUUGCUUUGCAGGACCACAUUAAUUUCAUGCAGCCUCUAUGCUUCAUGCAGAGCAUCAAACCGUCAUCUCUUCUCACUCUAUCACCACCUGUUCCUAAGCCGACGCUUUAGGCAUCUUCUCUUUGCUUGUUCAGGCAGGCACGAACAUAUCUUUACAAUAUUAAAAACCACCACUAUAUUAACCUUCAUUUCUUUCUGCCAGUGAGCCUGAGCUCUUGUCGCCAUGGCAGGCCUUAGCACCAGACCAUCAGUGCAGGGCCUCUGAUCCUGUUGUAACUGUGUAUACCAUGAGACAAUCAGCCUGAUCCUGCUGCCUGAUAUGUACGAGAAAAAAAUGGUCAAGUUUGAGACGAUCAGAGCCUCUUACAGUACCUGCUACAUUGAUACAUACACCAAGAUUUUCUUUUUGCAAGUCCCAAACAGUGGGCGCAGCUGUUGUUUAGCUUGCACGACAUAACAACUUCUCUCUGCUGGCGUCCAGAAGUGUUCCAGU